CUCACCUGUUCUUUCUGAGACAAAUCAUCUGCCAGGUUUCUGCCUCGGGACACCCAAGCUCAGCACAGACAGCCUAGCAGCCUGGGUGACAGGAUCCCAGGGGACAGGAUUCUCUCCUUGCCAUGGGGAUGAAGACAAAUUCUCCCUUCAUCCUUGAGAUUGGACUCCCGCCACACAUCCUGGAGGAGCCUACAGAGAAGCCGGCAGGUCUCCCUCACCUGGAUGGUGCCAGCGGGUGGCCUGGACCACCCAGAGGCCCUCUCCUGCACCUGACAGGAAGCCCCUGGGGCAUACGUCUCCCCUGCCACUUCCACUGUGGCCACUAGAAGUGUGGCGGAGAAAAUAGCUAGGACAAAAAGAAGUCAAUGAUUUCAACCAACGGAAUUUCUUUGUCCUUUGUAAAAGUCAACACAUGAUCUGUUACUGAUUGGGAUGUGAAAUAAAACUAAAAAUAACAGCACACUGAGCCUGGCUCAGGGCUCAGCUCACCUUUA
rnacentral:antisense_RNA from 1 species